GGCGCCGGAAAAAGAAUAGUAAACAGUGCGGGGGGCGGGGUUUCAUCGCUUUUUUUGAGCCUCAUCACAAUCACCGUUGUUUGAAGAAUUCCAACAAUACUUGCGAAGGCAAAAAAUAAACACUGGAACUAUAUUAUAUCGAUAUCAUAAGCACCGCGGACUCAACGUUUCCUGCUGGUUGUUUCCAUUACGAGAGAGGGAAGCAAAAACAGUGGCGAUCGCAGAGAGUUUGAUUGACUGGUCGUCCAUCCAGUGAGCAUGGAGGCAGGAGAAGACCAGACCAACUCCAGCUCAGCCAAUAGCAGUGCAGCAUCAGGGGGAAACGCCCGCCCCCCUCAAAUAGCUCAAAUGUCUCUGUAUGAAAGGCAAGCCGUGCAGGCACUGCAGGCGUUACAGAGGCAGCCCAAUGCAGCUCAGUACUUCCAGCAACUGAUGCUGCAGCAGCAGAUCAACAGUGCUCAACUCCAUAACCUGGCUGCUGUGC